GCGCGCUUCUUUUGAAACCAAAACGACUCUCGGCAACGGAUAUCUCGGCUCUCGCAUCGAUGAAGAACGUAGCGAAAUGCGAUACUUGGUGUGAAUUGCAGAAUCCCGUGAACCAUCGAGUCUUUGAACGCAAGUUGCGCCCGAAGCCAUUAGGCCGAGGGC
rnacentral:rRNA from 1 species